rnacentral:rRNA from 1 species
CCUACGGGUGGCAGCAAUUAGGAAUCUUGCGCAAUGGGCGAAAGCCUGACGCAGCGACGCCGCGUGGGGGAGGAAGGCCUUCGGGUUGUAAACCCCUUUUAUCCGGGAAGAACAAAAUGACGGUACCGGAUGAAUAAGCCACGGCUAACUCCGUGCCAGCAGCCGCGGUAAUACGGAGGUGGCGAGCGUUGUCCGAAGUUACUGGGCGUAAAGCGCGCGUAGGCGGGCUAUUAAGUGAGGGGUGAAAGGCUGAGGCUCAACCUCAUGUUUGUCCUCUCAUACUGAUAGUCUUGAGUGAGGCAGGGAGAAGUGGAAUGGCUGGUGUAGCGGUGAAAUGCGUAGAUAUCAGUCGGAACACCGGUGGCGAAGGCGGCUUCUUGGGCCUUUACUGACGCUGAGGCGCGAAAGCUGGGGGAGCGAACGGGAUUAGAUACCCUGGU